CUUUAGGUACUCCACAGUUCCCAUCUCCCCUAUAACCUGAUUUUUGAUUCUUAAAGAUUCCAUCAAUAACGAUGAAUCUCAUCUUCUCCCUAACCUGUUUUUUCGAUUCUUACCUCAAUCGACCAUAUCUCAUGACAUGGGAACUGCUGAGUUCAAAAAAUCUAUGGUUCGUUGUCAGAACUACAAGGUGAAAACGAAGAUUCAAGUUUAUUUGAGAUCCACCUAUGAAGAUUCAGAAACAGUUGAAGGCGACCAACGGUAUGGUUCGUUCAUAAUUAAUCGCUCGGAUCCGGCCAUGGGGAAAGAUCGAACAACAUAUGUGUUAUAGGAUACAAUGGGAAUCGGCUCAUAGGUGUGAAGGGUGGAAAUCACGGUCUGAUGAAGAGACUGGAAAGGUUCACGGAUCAUUGGAUCAUGCUGGAAAAGUGUGAGGCCAAACACUUAAGGUGGCCAAGCAGGACAAGAAGAAGCAGUGCGCCUUAGGGAUGCGCUCACAAGCGUAUUCAGUACAACCGUUUGAAUGAUAUAUAGGAUAUUUCGCGUCACUUUCGACCCGUUUGACCUGUUUCAAAAGUUUCAAUAAUAAUCAAGUUUUUCAAGUUACGCAUUUGAGCCGUUAAAGAGGUCGAAUAUGCACUUCUAUAAUGCUAAAGGUUCUAUUUAUAAUCUUGUAAUUUAAACUUGCAGAGAGCAUCAUGGAGCCAUACCAUAGGUACCUGCAUACAUACGUUUCUUUAUCGGGCCCACAUUUAGGUUAUCUCUACAGUUCCAAUUCUCUUUUCAAUUCUGGAUUAUGGCUGUUGAAGAAGCUUAAAAACACCCGUUGCAUUCAUCAGCCGACUUUCACUGAUGACAUAGAUCUCGAGAAUACCUUCUUCUACAAUCUAUCCAAGCAAAAGACUUUGGAAAGUUUCAAAAACAUAAUCCUGCUAUCAUCUCCUCAGGUGGCAAUUUCUACUCAUUUACGUGUUUAUUACUUGACUUGGGUUGUGUUUUAGGCCAAUCAGACAUUGAAGGGUAACUUAUACCAACUUGAACUG